rnacentral:tRNA from 2 species
GUUUUAAUAGUUUAACAAAAAUAGUGAUCUUGUAAAUCACAGAUAGGAAACUACCUUUAAAACU